GUCAGAAUGGCCGAGCGGUCUAAGGCGCUAUGUUCAGGUCGUAGUCGCAGGCGUGGGUUCGAAUCCCACUUCUGAAA